rnacentral:rRNA from 1 species
AGGAAGGUGGGGAUGACGUCAAAUCAGUCACGGCCCUUACGUCCAGGGCUACACACGUGUUACAAUGGCCAGUACAGAGGGCAGCCACCCCGCGAGGGGGCGCUAAUCCUAAAAGCUGGUCCCAGUUCGGAUCGGAGUCUGCAACCCGACUCCGUGAAGCUGGAUUCGCUAGUAAUCGCGCAUCAGCCACGGCGCGGUGAAUACGUUCCCGGGCCUU